ACAGCCUCAAGCCGCGUGGAUUCCUUCCAGACGGCCGGAGCCCCUCCCCCGCCUUUCCUACCCGGCCCCGGCGCCGGGCUUCCCCCCGCCUUAGGAAGCUCGCCCUUCCAGCCAGCGGCCCCGACUGUACUGGCUCCGCGGCAGCCUUGGCUCAGGCGGCCAGCGCUGGACAGCGGCCGGGGAAUCCCGUGCUGCGCGGCGCGGCCGAGGGGCGGGCCUGGCCCGGAGAGUACCGCGGCUUCGGCCCUCUGCCGUGCGCCUCGCGCGUUUUGCAUCGCUGAGCGAAGCAGAGACCCUGACACAUUUUUGUUGAAUCAAUUGACAAAAGAACUGACACCAGAUGGCCAAUCAACUCAAGAGAAAGAUUGCUUGGGUUGCUAUGAGGAAGAGGAGGAGUAAGGCCUGAUGUGGAAAGACCUUUGAGAAGAUGUUGAAAUGAGGCAGAGGAGGAGCUAGGCCUGAUGUGGAAAGACCCUUGAGAAGGCUCCUGCAGUGAUCCAGGAUAAUGAGGACAUGUGACAAAUACCAAAUUAACAUGGUGGACAUCAGAAGAGGACAUCUUGGGACAAAGGUCCAGCUUUGAAGAAAAGUAUUUUUGUAUAAAU
rnacentral:lncRNA from 1 species